GAUCGGGAUAACACCUGGAAACAGAUGCUAAUACCGGAUAACAACAGAUGAUGCCUAUCAACUGUUUAAAAGAUGGUUCUGCUAUCACUCUUGGAUGGACCUGCGGUGCAUUAGCUAGUUGGUAGGGUAACGGCCUACCAAGGCGAUGAUGCAUAGCCGAGUUGAGAGACUGAUCGGCCACAUUGGGACUGAGACACGGCCCAAACUCCUACGGGAGGCAGCAGUU
rnacentral:rRNA from 1 species